rnacentral:rRNA from 1 species
AGAGUUUGAUCCUGGCUCAGGACGAACGCUGGCGGCAUGCCUAACACAUGCAAGUCGAACGGACGACUUUACGGAAGAAGCUUCGGUUUUGGAAGUAAGGAAGUUAGUGGCGGAUGGGUGAGUAACGCGUGGAUAACCUACCUUCAGGUUGGGGACAACUCCGGGAAACCGGAGCUAAUACCGAAUAAAAUUCCAGGAACGCAUGUUUUUGGAAUCAAAGGGGGCCUCUCUAAAGAAGCUCUUGCCAGAAGAUGGAUCCGCGUCUGAUUAGCUUGUUGGUGGGGUAGUAGCCUACCAAGGCAACGAUCAGUAGCCGGCCUGAGAGGGUGAACGGCCACACUGGGACUGAGACACGGCCCAGACUCCUACGGGAGGCAGCAGUGGGGAAUCUUCCGCAAUGGGCGAAAGCCUGACGGAGCAAUGCCGCGUGAAUGAAGAAGGCCUUCGGGUUGUAAAGUUCUGUUGAAAAGGAAGAAAGUGAGAUGGGCUAAUACCCUAUUUUAUUGACGGUACUUUUUGAGGAAGCCCCGGCUAACUACGUGCCAGCAGCCGCGGUAAUACGUAGGGGGCAAGCGUUGUCCGGAAUCACUGGGCGUAAAGCGCAUGCAGGCGGGAUAUUAAGUCAGGUGUGAAAACUAUGGGCUCAACCUGUAGACUGCAUCUGAAACUGGUAUUCUUGAGUAUUGGAGAGGAAAGUGGAAUUCCUAGUGUAGCGGUGAAAUGCGUAGAUAUUAGGAGGAACACCAGUGGCGAAGGCGACUUUCUGGCCAAAAACUGACGCUCAGAUGCGAAAGCGUGGGGAGCAAACAGGAUUAGAUACCCUGGUGGUCCACGCCGUAAAACGAUGGGGUACUAGGCGUUGGGUGUCAAAGCUCAGUGCCGCAGUUAACACAAUAAGUACCCCGCCUGGGGAGUACGUUCGCAAGAAUGAAACUCAAAAGGAAUUGACGGGGACCCGCACAAGCGGUGGAGCAUGUGGUUUAAUUCGACGCAACGCGAAGAACCUUACCAAGGCUUGACAUCCCUUGACGGUCUAAGAGAUUAGAUUUUCUUUUCGGAGACAAGGAGACAGGUGGUGCACGGUUGUCGUCAGCUCGUGUCGUGAGAUGUUGGGUUAAGUCCCGCAACGAGCGCAACCCCUACAGUUAGUUGCCAUCAUUAAGUUGGGCACUCUAGCAGGACUGCCGGUGACAAACCGGAGGAAGGUGGGGAUGACGUCAAAUCAUCAUGCCCCUUAUGUCUUGGGCUACACACGUGCUACAAUGGGCAGUACAGAGGGCAGCGAAGCCGCGAGGUGAAGCGAAUCUCAAAAAGCUGUUCCCAGUUCGGAUUGCAGGCUGCAACUCGCCUGCAUGAAGCAGGAAUCGCUAGUAAUCGCAGGUCAGCAUACUGCGGUGAAUACGUUCCCGGGUCUUGCACACACCGCCCGUCA